AUUGAACGCUGGCGGAAUGCUUUACACAUGCAAGUCGAACGGUAGAGGGGGCAACCCCUCGAGAGUGGCGAACGGGUGAGUAAUAUAUCGGAACGUGCCCAGUCGUGGGGGAUAACGUAGCGAACGUUACGCUAAUCCCGCAUACGAUCUAAGGAUGAAAGCGGGGGAUCGCAAGACCUCGCGCGAUUGGAGCGGCCGAUAUCAGAUUAGGUAGUUGGUGGGGUAAAGGCUCACCAAGCCAACGAUCUGUAGCUGGUAUGAGAGGACGACCAGCCACACUGGAACUGAGACACGGUCCAGACUCCUACGGGAGGCAGCAGUGGGGAAUUUUGGACAAUGGACGCAAGUCUGAUCCAGCCAUUCCGCGUGCAGGAUGAAGGCCCUCGGGUUGUAAACUGCUUUUGUACGGAACGAAAAGGUCUCUCUUAAUACGGGGGACUCAUGACGGUACCGUAAGAAUAAGCACCGGCUAACUACGUGCCAGCAGCCGCCGUAA
rnacentral:rRNA from 1 species